rnacentral:lncRNA from 1 species
CCCAUUUCAUUUUCCUGAACCAAACACAAACACAAAAUUAAAAAAAAUAUAUUUUUCAAAAAAUAAAGUUAAGAAAUAAACAAACCCUAAAAUUUUAAAAUCCAAAUUUAAAGCUACAUAAAAUAAUAUUGAAUCCAACCUAAAAUGUUAAACUUCAAAAUUUUAAUACAAUACCUAAGCUAUUAUAAGGACUCAAUUUCCAAAGUGGAGUAAAGCUUAAUCAUUUCAUCCAGAUUUGAAAUAGCCCGGACUUAAAUAUAAUUUGUAUCUGAAAAGGAUCAAACUGGAAAUGGUUUGAACCUGGCAUAACUCCUACUUGAAAUGAACCUGAGCUGAAAUCAAUUAAAAUCCGAAGUGAUCCAAAUACAAAAUCAAGUUGACCGGAAUCUGUCCAAACCCAUCCUUUGGCCACAUCUACUGAAUACCGAUCACCGAGAUUCCUUUUGAAGCUUCUUAGGAAGGGCCUUUUGAGCUCUUGUAAAGCAUUCAUCAAUUCAAACACAGCCUUCUUAUUCUUCAAUGUCUCUGCAAUUGUUGCAAUGGCAAUCGGCAAUUCUGCACAUCUUUGGGCCACUUCAUUUGUUGUACAAUACAAGUCAUAGCCUUCAACAAUAUCACCACCCAUGAUUUUAAACAGGUUCCAUGCUGCUUCUUGAUUGAAAAUCUUGAUGGCAAAUGGUCUUUGAACACCCAUGGAGGAUAAAACAUUGAAGUUUCUAGAUGUCAACAAGAUCUUGCAUCCCAUGUUUUUACCACUAGAUGGAAUUCCAAGAGCUCCCAAAUCCAAUGGCACCCAAAUAUCAUCCAAAAUUAUAAGAACCUUGUCUUGUUUAUCAAAGUUAAGGUCGCUCAGGAUUUUCUCAAUGUUGGGAGAUUGUGAUAUCGUGACAACGACCACCUUAUCAAACAACUCCAACUUGGCAAGUCGAGCAACUUCUUUGACUAGUAUCGCCAUGGGCUGUCUACGAGCUCCAUACACCCCAACUAUGGUGGAAUCAUCAUUUUUCAAGGCCUCCAUGACUCUUUUUAAGGCACCUGUUGUUGAACCAUUGGCAGGUCUGGGAGCAGGACGGUAGGAAACGCUAUCGAAUCGGCCUUUCCCCAAGAGUUGAGCAAUGGCGUCGGCCUCUUUCUCUGCUGUCUUGCUGAGCAGGUAACGAGACUUGAAGUUGGGGCAGAGUCCGAUCAAACACUUUUCAUUUGCUUUCUCUUCAUCUUCCUUUAACUUGGUUUCAGCCAUCUCAGAGAUCUUGUGAUCAACCAUGGUCAACCAUUUGUCCACGUCGUUGUAAAUCUUCCGGCCUUGGCGUUUAGCAGCAUCAACGGAUUGCUGGACUCUCUGUCUUGCAUCUUUCAGGUCGUUCACUCCCUCCCUGAGAUUCUCAAGGUUGGUUUUAUAGUUUUGGAUGUAAGUCAUCUCUUGUUUGAUGAGAUCAAAUGCCAACUCCCCAGCUUUUCCACCAAUCGAAGCAAUAACAGCUUCCAUUUCUUUCUCUUUCUCAACUUCUGCUGAAGUAAAGAUGGCUCUGGUUGUUUUCUAGAUAACCAAUACAUUCAAGUGAACGAGCGACUAGUUGUAUUGUAAAAUAGGACUAUAGAAAUGGUCAAUGGUUAAUAAAUUAUUGUAAUUUCUUGGUUUUUUUCCCCAGAGAUGAGCUGUAGAUUCUUCUCUCCUAAUCACACUGACCGAUAGUGCGUGUGAAAAGCUGAAAGUUGCAGACGUGCUUUUUGACUUAAAUAUUUUUUUGGAAGAAAACAAUUAAGGCCAAGUAAAGGCAAUAAAGGAUUCAUAAGCAGUUUUGAUCCCUUAAUUAAAAAAAUUACAAUUUAAUUAUUGAAUAUAUAGUAUUAAUUUUAACAACCUACAUAUUAUUAUAAUUUUAUCUAUAAUAUAAUUAGUUUGUCAUAAAGACAAGACAAAUUCUCACUUAAUAAUAUUCAAUAAUUUCUCAAAAUAAAUUUCAUAUUUAAUUUUAUCUAUAAUAUGAGUAAAUAUUUGAUACGUUAUUUAUUUUAUAAGUAACUUUAAUCUUAAAAACAAACAUUACAUUAACUUAUCCCACAAGGUUAGCCAAAUAUUUUUUUCUUUUUUGUUCUAUUUCUAAUUGAAAAACUAGAGAAUACUAUUUCUUUUCUCUUCUUUCAACCGAUCUUCGUAAGAGUGAGAAAAAUUCGAUUCUAUUUGAAAAAAAAAAGUUUUGAUUUUCAAUUUAAUCAAAUCAAGUUGUUUGAGUUAUUCGAGUCAACUCGAAUAAGUAAUUCGAUCUUAGAGUUUGAGUCGAGUUAAAUUUUACAAUUUGAAUUACUCGAAUAAUGCGAAUAACAGAUUGGUGUAAAUACUCCUUUGGUCCCUCUCAAUUUUAAAAAUAAGCAAAUUGGUCUCUCUCAACAAAAAUUACAAAUAGAAUUUAAAAUAAUUUUCAAAAAUUCAAAAUAAUUUUUAAAAUUGAAAAUAUUUGUAAAAAUUCUAAAAAUUCUAAAAAAAAGGGAAAGUUAAAAUUUUAGAAAUCUUCUAAAAUAAUAAUUUUUUGAACUUAAAUAAUUUAAUUAAUGAUUCAAGUCAAUCGCACUAAAACAUCUUCUUCUUCUUUUUUGCUUUGAAUUUUUUUUUCAAAUUUAUAUGUGUUCUAACAUGAAAUUAGUUACUGUAACAAGAUUUUAAUUUAACUUGAACAAUUUCACUCAUUUCGAAUUUCAUUUCACUUAACUUAAUUCGAAAAAAUUUCAAAUCGAGUUAGGAUUAUAAAAUAUGACUCGUCAACUCGAUUAACUCAAUAUUUUCACUCGAUUCGACUCGUUUUGAUUGAACCCUCACUCCUACAUCUUUGAGUAGAAACACUGGAGAUAAGUGUUAAGUAUUAGAUUAACAUUCAUGUUCUCAAUUUUUAUUUUGUUCUGUUAGUUUCAUUUUUCGUUGUUAUUAUUUAUUUAGCUCUGGAAUUUGUUAUUUUCCCUUAAAUUGAUACAUUAUCUUAAGUUAGUAUUUUAAUUUUCAUUCUGUCUAUAUAAGUACUUCUUUGUAACGCUAUUAUACAUUACACAAUUUACCAUUUCUACUUUGAUACCAAUUCAUUUCAUUCAUCCACACAUCACAUGUACAUGUCAAAUUAUUCUCAAUUUCAACAAUCUCAAAAUAUAACAUAUAUACAAUACCAUUUGGCCAUAUCAAGUUAACCAUUAUUAAUCUAUAUAUCAACAUGAUCAUAUCAUAUACAAAACCAAAUCAAAACCUUGGUACAUGCCUUAUAUCAAAAUGUAAAAGAAACUAUACAAAUAUUGUUGAGUUAAGGGCUAUGGAUUGGAUGUUGAGUUACUUCUCGAGACUUCGAGAUCCACCUAAGGGUGGGUUUGGAUGGCGAUUGAGUAUAGUGCGAUGCGUUUAGCUUACUUUUUGUCUCACGCUACAAUAUAUAAUCUCACUGUCACCAUUUUUUUAAACUAACCACAACCACCACUCAUCUAAACCCACCCUAAACUUGUGUACGGAAUAACCAAACUGUAUGUUGAACGACAAAAUAUUUCAUUAUUCAAGUCAUCUAAUUGAAAACAUUAACAUGAUUAGAAUGAGAACAAGCAUGUUUAAGUUGCAGCCAUUCAAUAUCACUUAUUCAUGUCACAUAUAUAUAGAUAUAUGAAAAAAAGGGUAAAUCAUUUUACAGAAGAAAGUAACUUUUUGCGUUGACUAACACAAUAUUUUCCUUUAACCCAUUUCAUUUUCUUGAACCAAAUACAAAAAAUUUUAAAAAUAUAUUUUUCAAAAAAUAAAGUUAAGAAAUAAACAAACCCUAAAAAUUUAAAAUCCAAAUUUCACUUACCAAAUGCUACCUAAAAUGAUAUUGAAUCCAACCUAAAAUGUUAAACUUCAAAAUUUUAAUACAAUACCUAAGCUAUUAUAAGGACUCAAUUUCCAAAGUGGAGUAAAGCUUUAUCAUUUCAUCCACAUUUGAAAUAGUCCGGACUUAAAUAUAAUUUGUAUCUGAAAAGGAUCAAACUGGAAAUGGUUUGAACCUGGCAUAACUCCUACUUGAAA